AAACUUAGUGGAGCUGUUCAAAUUUAUAAGAUGUGGCAAGAAUAUAGAAACGGUUAAAGAGAGAGAAUGUGAGCGUAGCGGUCAGUAGAGUGGAGAAGGUUUGAGAGGAAAAGGUGACGAUGGAGUGAACUUUGUUUGUGUUGCUCUUGCUCCCAACCAACAGCAACAGGCGAUGAUGGAGGUUACCCAUUUGACCACCUCUCGUUCCGUGUCUCAAUGUCAUCACGGCUUUGCCAGAAGACCUUUCCAAUGCACACACAACCAUAUUAGAUAUGGUUACGGCCCGCACUUCCUGCGCCAUCGCCUCUCCGCGCCGUUCAAAACGCUUCUUCGCUCUAAGCCCUCUUCCCUUCGUCCCAUCCACUUCACUUCUCAGGACCAACAACACGCUCUUCUCACUAAUUCAGACGAGGAUGAUCAGCUUCAGCCCAAUCCCGCUGAUCAAUUGCCACCCCAUCAAAAUCAAAAACCUCAGAAUGUGGAUAUCAAGCGAGAGCUUCUAUUGCUGUCUUUGCCCGCCGUUGCCAGUCAGGCAAUUGAUCCCUUGGCUCAGUUGAUGGAAACCGCUUACAUUGGUCGACUCGGCACUGUGGAAUUGGCUUCUGCGGGUGUUUCCAUGUCCAUCUUUAACAUCAUUUCUAAGCUCUUUAAUAUUCCCCUUCUAAGUGUUGCUACUUCCUUUGUUGCCGAGGACUUAGCUAAGGCUUCUACUCAAGAUUCUGCUUCAGAUGAAGCUGGUCUUCAAAAUAGUGGCAAUGGUAAACCUUUCAAAAGAGUUUCUCAGAGAAAGCAACUAUCCUCUGUCUCCACUGCUUUGCUAUUGGCACUGGGCCUUGGCAUUUUUGAGGCUUUAGCUAUGUCCCUGGGAUCUGGAGCAUUUCUACAUUUAAUUGGUGUAUCAGCACAAAAUCCAACACGUGUUCCGGCACAGCAUUUUCUAUCUUUAAGAGCUGUUGGCGCUCCUGCAGUCGUACUUUCUUUGGCUCUUCAAGGCAUUUUCCGUGGUUUUAAGGAUACCAAAACUCCUGUUAUAUGUUUAGGCAUUGGUAACUUUUCAGCUGUCUUUUUAUUUCCCUUACUUAUGUAUUACUUUCGGUUGGGUGUAACUGGUGCAGCCAUUUCCACAGUUCUCUCUCAAUAUAUUGGGGCCGCAUUGAUGAUCUGGUGUCUGAAUAAGCGAGCUGAGUUACUACCUCCAAAGAUGGGAGAUCUGCAAUUUGGCAGUUACAUUAAAUCUGGUGGUUUCCUUCUUGGUAGAACACUUGCUGUUCUUUCAACCAUGACAUUGGGGACAUCAAUGGCUGCUCGUCAUGGUCCAGUAGCUAUGGCUGCACAUCAGAUAUGUUUGCAAGUAUGGUUGGCUGUUUCCCUUCUUACAGAUGCAUUGGCUGCAUCUGGUCAGGCCCUUAUUGCAAGUUCUGUAUCCAGACGUGAAUACAAAGUUGUGAAGGAAAUUACUAGUUUUGUAUUGAAGAUUGGACUGGUAAUGGGUAUUGGCUUGGCUGCAAUUCUGGGUGCAUCGUUUGGAUCUUUAUCGACCAUUUUUACUCAGGACUUUGAAGUCUUGCAGGUGGUCAGAACUGGGGUGUUGUUUGUCAGUGCUUCUCAACCAUUUAAUGCACUGGCAUAUAUUUUUGAUGGUCUCCAUUACGGUGUUUCUGAUUUCCGAUAUGCUGCUUUCUCCAUGAUGUUUGUGGGAGCAGCCUCCUCUGCAUUCUUGGUAUUUGCACCUUCACGUUUUGGCCUUCAUGGUGUAUGGCUGGGCUUAACUCUCUUCAUGGCUCUUCGUGCAGCAGCUGGUUCUGUCAGAUUACUAUCAAAGAAUGGUCCUUGGUGGUUUCUUCACAGGGAUUUACAAAUUGCAGAGAAUGUUAAGAUGAAUGUGUGGCCAUACAAGAAAGGACGUGAUACCAAAUUAUUGUAUAUGAAAAGAUAUUGAUGUAGCACCAAUUAUGAAAAAAGAUGAUAGAAAAUCAGUUAAAGUGGUGGUUUGAACAUGUUCAAAGAAGGUUAUUGGAGCUGUUGGUGAGGAGAGUAGAAUGCACGUUUAGUCUUGUGAAAAGGAGGAGAUGGAUAGCAAGGAGGACAUUGGGAAGGGAAAUCACAUGGUGGUCUCAUGAGUCUGAAGGUGGAGAAUAUAUGGAUGAAACACUGGAAGUGACAUUUUGAAGAUGAUUUUCAUUAUCGGAUACUAUAUUUAGAUGUUAAUUUAGAAUUUGGGAUUUUCCAUUGUGCCCGUUUAGAGAAUAGGACAUUUUAGAAGCAUUUUUUUUAUAGGUUCUCGUAAUGUAAUUCAUCAUUUGAGUCUUAUCAAUUGGUGUUAUUAUAUGGCAACUCUUAAGUACAUUUUUGUGUAAAGGAAAGUGGUUCAAUUUAGUAUUUUUUUAAAGCCCAAA